rnacentral:tmRNA from 1 species
GGGGCUGAUUCUGGAUUCGACGGGAUUUGCGAAACCCAAGGUGCAUGCCGAGGGGCGGUUGGCCUCGUAAAAAGCCGCAAAAAAUAGUCGCAAACGACGAAAACUACGCUUUAGCAGCUUAAUAACCUGCUUAGAGCCCUCUCUCCCUAGCCUCCGCUCUUAGGACGGGGAUCAAGAGAGGUCAAACCCAAAAGAGAUCGCGUGGAAGCCCUGCCUGGGGUUGAAGCGUUAAAACUUAAUCAGGCAAGUUUGUUAGUGGCGUGUCCGUCCGCAGCUGGCAAGCGAAUGUAAAGACUGACUAAGCAUGUAGUACCGAGGAUGUAGGAAUUUCGGACGCGGGUUCAACUCCCGCCAGCUCCACCA